rnacentral:rRNA from 1 species
AAUGAACGCUGGCGGCGUGCCUAACACAUGCAAGUCGAAUGUGUCCGCAAGGAUGCAUGGCAGACGGGUGAGUAACGCGUGGGGAACCUACCUCUUUGUGGGGAAUAACGCUCCGAAAGGAGUGGUAAUACCGCAUAUGACCAUAAACUGGAAUGUUUAUGGUGAAACCUGGGGACCGUAAGGCCUGGGGCAAGGAGAGGGUCCUGCGUCUGAUUAGCUAGUUGGUGAGGUAAUGGCUCACCAAGGCAACGAUCAGUAGCCGGCCUGAGAGGGUGAUCGGCCACACUGGAACUGAGACACGGUCCAG